CUACGUGCCAGCAGCCGCGGUAAUACAUAGGUCGCAAGCGUUAUCCGGAAUUAUUGGGCGUAAAGCGUUCGUAGGCUGUUUAUUAAGUCUGGAGUCAAAUCCCAGGGCUCAACCCUGGCUCGCUUUGGAUACUGGUAAACUAGAGUUGGAUAGAGGUAAGCGGAAUUCCAUGUGAAGCGGUGAAAUGCGUAGAUAUAUGGAAGAACACCAAAGGCGAAGGCAGCUUACUGGGUCUAUACUGACGCUGAGGGACGAAAGCGUGGGGAGCAAACAGGAUUAGAUACCCUGGUAGUCCACGCCGUAAACGAUGAUCAUUAGUCGGUGGGAGCCACUGACGCAGCUAACGCAUUAAAUGAUCCGCCUGAGUAGUAUGCUCGCAAGAGUGAAACUUAAAGGAAUUGACGGGGACCCGCACAAGCGGUGGAGCAUGUGGUUUAAUUUGAAGAUACGCGGAGAACCUUACCCACUCUUGACAUCCUUUGCAAAGCUAUAGAGAUA
rnacentral:rRNA from 1 species